GAGGCCGGGAGACGCUGAGGGUACCUCGGGGGUAGCGGUGAGAUGCUGUAAUCNUCGGAGGACCACCAAUGGCGAAGGCACUCAGCGAGAACGGACCUGACGGUGAGGGAUGAAGGCUGGGGGAGCGAACCGGAUUAGAUACCCGGGUAGUCCCAGCUGUAAAGUAUGCAGACCAGGUGCUGGAUGUCCCUCGAGGGCACUCGGUGCCGUAGGGAAGCCGUUAAGUCUGCCGCCUGGGGAGUACGGUCGCAAGGCUGAAACUUAAAGAAAUUGGCGGGGGAGCACCACAAGGGGUGGAGCCUGCGGUUUAAUUGGAUUCAACGCCGGACAACUCACCGGGGGCGACGGCAGAAUGAAGGUCAGGCUGACGACUUUACUGGACUAGCCGAGAGGUAGUGCAUGGCCGCCGUCAGCUCGUACCGUGAAGCGUCCUGUCAAGUCAGGCAACGAGCGAGACCCUCACCACUAGUUGCCAACGGAUCCCACUGGGAUGCCGAGCACUCUAGGGGGACCGCUGUCGCUAAGGCAGAGGAAGGAGAGGGCAACGGUAGGUCCGUAUGCUCCGAAUCCCCCGGGCUACACGCGGGCUACAAUGCGUGGGGCAGAGGGAUGCAACCCCGAAAGGGGAAGCCAAACCCUAAACCUACGCUCAGUUCGGAUCGAGGGCUGAAACUCGCCCUCGUGAAGUUGGAAUCCCUAGU
rnacentral:rRNA from 1 species